CGCACCUUGCACCUUUUGGUUAUUCCGAAAGGUAUGCCUGUUUGAGUGUCAUUAAACUCUCACUUUGAACAUUUUAUGUUUGAAUGUGGAUGUGGAGGUUGCGGGUCUUUCGAGAUCGGCUCCUCUGAAAUGCAUUAGUGGACUGCACCGUGGCUCUACGCUUUCAGACGUGAUAAUGUCACCGUUUGAGUCAAGCUUGAGCAGUAAAUCGACGUCUGCUUUCUAACUGUCUUUCGAGACUGCUCUUUUAGAGCAAAGUUAAUGACUAUUGUGACCUCAAAUCAGGUAGGAUUACCCGCUGAACUUAA
rnacentral:misc_RNA from 1 species